rnacentral:lncRNA from 1 species
ACAUUCCAUCUUAACUGAAACACAAACAUUUCCAGACUAUAUUCCCGUUAACGAGAACAAACUGACCAGGUCCCAGCACGGCAUAAUGUCAACAUGCACCAGAGAAGAACGAAAAUGCAAUUCGAGGUACAGAUCUGUGAUUCAAAACCCCAUAUUCAUUCACACAAUAUCCAAAUCUAGAUUUACCAUCAAUAGCCAACGAUAUACACAUACUUUUUUGCACAUAUAAUAAAAACAGAGCAAUGACCGAUACAC